rnacentral:piRNA from 1 species
UAAUUGAGAAAUGCCUUACAGUUGGAUCU